GCUUUGGCAACAUCGAACAUCCUGUCCAUAUUUAUGAUUUUAUUUUUGUGCAAAAAGUUACACAACACUCAUCAUAAAGAUUCUGCUGAAGGUCGAGCUCAAGUACACCAGACUGAAGAAACUGGAGAUCUGAACUACGCAGCUCUCAGCUUUACUCAGCCUCCCUCCUCAAGAAGAAGCAGAACAAAGAACAGCGAUGAUCAGUCUGUGUACUCACAAGUGAAGAGCCAUCAAUAAAAUCAUAAUUAAUAUAAAAAUUUUACUAUUUUACCAUAUCAUUGUAACUGCUCUGUAAACAGUAUUCAUUUCAUAAAUAUUCAUACUGUAUAUAGUGAACAAUCAG